rnacentral:rRNA from 1 species
CACGUAGGGGGCGAGCGUUGUCCGGAUUUAUUGGGCGUAAAGAGCUCGUAGGCGGCUAAGUAAGUCGGGUGUGAAAACUCCAGGCUCAACCUGGAGACGCCACCUGAUACUGCUUUGGCUAGAGUCCGGUAGGGGAGCAUGGAAUUCCUGGUGUAGCGGUGAAAUGCGCAGAUAUCUGGAGGAACACCGGUGGCGAAGGCGGCAUCCUGGACCGGUAUUGACGCUGAGGCGCGAAAGCUAGGGGAGCAAACGGG